rnacentral:rRNA from 1 species
CCUACGGGGGGCUGCAGUGGGGAAUAUUGGACAAUGGGGGCAACCCUGAUCCAGCCAUGCCGCGUGUGUGAAGAAGGCCCUCGGGUUGUAAAGCACUUUCAGUGAGGAAGAACGCCUGGUGGUUAAUACCCAUCAGGAAAGACAUCACUCACAGAAGAAGCACCGGCUAACUCCGUGCCAGCAGCCGCGGUAAUACGGAGGGUGCGAGCGUUAAUCGGAAUUACUGGGCGUAAAGCGCGCGUAGGUGGCUUGAUAAGCCGGUUGUGAAAGCCCCAGGCUCAACCUGGGAACGGCAUCCGGAACUGUCAAGCUAGAGUGCAGGAGAGGAAGGUAGAAUUCCCGGUGUAGCGGUGAAAUGCGUAGAGAUCGGGAGGAAUACCAGUGGCGAAGGCGGCCUUCUGGACUGACACUGACACUGAGGUGCGAAAGCGUGGGUAGCAAACAGGAUUAGAUACCCUAGUAGUC